UGAUCAGGUUGAUAGGUCUGAGGUGAAGUGUGGCGACACAUGGAGCUGACAGAUACUAAUCGAUCGAGGACUUAACCA
rnacentral:rRNA from 1 species